CUACUGUCUAGGGGCUCAAACCGUUCAAGUUCAUUAUUUCCUGCGAUGGAAUCUGGCCAACAGGAAGCAACAUUGGAAGAAGCAGAACAAUUCAGGAGGGGCCAUCAAAGCAGGUUGGGUUAUUCUGAAUAUCCAAUGAGACCUGGAAACAAGAGAAAUGUGCAUUAAAUGAACCAUGUUCUGGACUACCAGCGAGGGCUGUCCACUCUGCACCAGCUCCUCCCCUUCACCCUGAUCUCCCUCAUCACCUGUCUCAGACAUCAGUCAAGGGUCCCCACCUGUUUCUGAACUGCCUGUCCAGGAGCUGCAGAAAAUACUGCUGCUGUCUUUGUGGUGAAUCAGACAUCCUCUUAUAACCUGACCCAUGCAGGGGCUGCUGCACUGAUUAUAUGAUCUUUCUUCAUAUUCAAUUCAGGCAAAAUAUUGUUAAUAAGGUGGAAGAAAUGUAAUGGAUAAAAUCAUCACCUCUCUAAAGAGCACAAGAAGUUGCUGUACUGAAUAAAGCAAUAAAAAAUUGGGAGUUACCUGUUCAGAGGUAAGGAAAGUCAGUAAUUCUAACCAAUGAUCAUGACAUCUACUCCUUUCUCCUUCCCGGCUAAUGGUUGGUUGUUCCUACAAGGAUGUAUCACAGAAAAAAUGCAACUAACCAGAAUGUGAAGAUGAGCAUUUAACCUGCUCUUACAUUUGCAGAGAUGAGUUGUCCAGCUGAUUCUCUUUGUGCAGAAUUGAUCAUUGUUGCUUAUUUAUCAAAUGUCAAGAAGAAAUCAGUGGAAUUGAUCAUUUCUAUCAAGAGGUAAGGAAUGCACCUCCUCUCAGCACAGGGGCAGGAAUAACAGACUCUGUUUCUAUUUUCAGGUGAAAUAAAGGUCUGACCAUUGCAGGGGGGAAGAGGAGAAGAUAAGAGGCUGCUGAAUUUAAUAAUAGUCAGACAGGUAACAAUACCUGGCCAGGGGGAAGAAAAGCAUCUUUUACUUCUAGUUCAGAAAGAGGAAAGCAGCCAAUUAUAUGCUCAAGUUGUAACCAGUGUAGUUGGCUGUACCUCUAAGAAUCAAAGCUUUGUGGUGCAACAUCACUGAGAAGUAAGUGAGCACUGGGAAGUCUGUAGAAGCCUAAUGAUCUGGAUGCUAAGGAAACAUUUCUAUUGAUGACUCUUCAUAACUGGUAAUGAGAAAUAAUAAUAAAUAGUUGUCAGGUUUUGCUAACUGGAGAUGUGAACAGACCAGGUGGCCAUUCCUGCCAGGGAGAAGUAAGGGUAAGUGGCUGUCCCGGGCAAGGAGGUAAGAAAUACCAGUCUCCAAACAUCCAUGUGUAUAUCAAGUGGUGUGGAGUUUACUUUCAGGGAGAACUGUGGAGGACCUUACUUGUCAUGGGAGAGUGUGAAAGCAGAGGCAAGACAAAGCAACAUGGACUUGCCAGCUGCUGAAUCCAUGGAGGACUCCAAUGAGAAGAUGCUGUUAUUUCAAGGAGCAACAAACAGAAAACAGAAGAGUCAUUUCAAAUAGUUCAGCUAGUUGCAAAUCUGAAUAUGAAGCAAGUCAGCAGACGUGGAGAUGAGAGAAAUGCAGCUGAUUUGAACUUUGAGGGUGUGAAAACUUCAGGAAGUUCCUAGAAGAUCUGUGAUAUCUAUAGGAAGGAAACCAGUGAAACUCAUCACUGCUGCCAAGAGGUAAGGAACUCACCUCACAAUGGAGAAACUAAUGGAUCUGGUUUCUCUUCAGGUGAAAGAAAUGCAGCUGAUCUGAUCUGCUUGGGGUUGAGGACUAUAAGCAGUCAUAUUACUUAAGAAUAAAGGAACAUGUUCCCAGACUUGCAGAGAGGAAAAAAAGUUGCCUUCCUUGACUGGAAUGGGAAGACAAUCCCUUAUCACCAUCAAGUUUCAAACCCCAAUGCAGGAGACCAUCACUGACAGAGGAAAUAAGAGUUACAGAUGCUCAGGAUUUGAGUACAAAGUAAUAGGAAUGGAGCUGAACAGAUCCAACACCUGAAAGGACAAUUGGCUCUCAUAAGAUAUGAGACCAUGAAAAAGACCCUUCAUUCAAUAAAGCAACAGAAUUGUCUCUGGGGAGAGCUGAUCACACCAUCCCAGAAUCUAAGAGGAGCUCAGGGGGAUGGCAGACAUCGGGAUUCAUCUUUAUCAGGAGGUGAUGAACCUGCUUGUCACUUCUGAAUAACAUCAGUGGCUUUGGUUAGACUUUCAAUUGAAGGAAACACAGCCAGUGUGGUCAGUAUUCAAGAAACAAUAUUCAAAAGUUGCCUGGGGUCACCUCUUGGGCUAAGGGGAGCAGCUGGUCCCGUCUGCUGGGAUGGAAGCAAAGAAGAAAGCACUGGCCACUGGCUAAUACUGGGACACAGACAAUACCCUGUCCCAGGCCCCUCCAGGGUAUGUAACCAUAGUGACCAGUGGGUCCUUUCCCCACUGUGGUCCUGGCUCACAUGCACAGGGUGAAACUGAUCGCCAUGUUUGGGGUCAGGAAGGAAUUUUCCUCCAGGGCAGAUUGGCCAGAGACCCUGGAGGUUUUUCGCCUUCCUCUGGGGCAUUGAGCAGGGACCAGCCCUUUGGGCCAUUUAGAAACUGACAAUAAAAUCCAUGAGAGAGAA